rnacentral:rRNA from 1 species
AUUGAACGCUGGCGGCAUGCCUAACACAUGCAAGUCGAACGGCAGCAUGGUCUAGCUUGCUAGACUGAUGGCGAGUGGCGGACGGGUGAGUAACGCGUAGGAAUAUGCCUUAAAGAGGGGGACAACUUGGGGAAACUCAAGCUAAUACCGCAUAAACUCUGAGGAGAAAAGCUGGGGACCUUCGGGCCUGGCGCUUUAAGAAUAGCCUGCGUCCGAUUAGCUAGUUGGUGGGGUAAAGGCCUACCAAGGCGACGAUCGGUAGCUGGUCUGAGAGGAU